CGCAUCGAAAUUGCACACGAUGCGUAAUCCGAAUUAAGCCAGGAGUUUUUUUACUCAACAAAAUUUUAAGCCAUGCGUAUUUUCUUUUUUUUCAUGCGUAUUUUACGCAAAUACGCAUCUUAUCUGGACCUCUGGCUAUAGCCAAUGUAGUAACUGAAAAUCAUGAUCCCUCAGCUAAUUACUCUGUAUGUCCAAGAGUAAUAAAAAUGCAACAGCAUGGCAAUUGUUGCAGAAUUUCUGUGAAAGUUUGCAACAUGAUUGGCAAACCCAUUGUUUUCAAACCAAAGUCUCAUGUUUGUCAGAUUUCUGAAGUUGAGGUCAUAGAUAAUUUGACCUCAAGUUUUCAGAAUGACUCUCAACAGAAAACACCAGUAAAUGAGUGUACCAAUGACCUUGGAUUUAAGAUUGAUACUAAAAAUCUAACACCCGAACAAGUAAAAAGGGUUCAACAAGUCUUAGGAAAUUGGUCACAUGUGUUUUCUAAAGGUCCUACUGAUAUAGGAUGUACAAAUCUUCUAAAACAUAAGAUUGUGUUAGAAGAUUCAACCCCCUUUAAGCAGUCUUACAGACGCAUACCCCAGGGUUAUAUGAGGAGGUAAGGCAACACAUUAAAGAAAUGUUAGAUGCCAAGGUCAUUAGAGAAUUUGAGUCACCCUUCAGUUCCAAUGUUGUUUUGGUUAGAAAGCGGGAUGGCUCACUUCGGUUCUGCAUUGACUGGAGACAACUCAAUGCACGAACCAGAAAAGAUUCAUACAAUUUACCCAGAUUUGACGACAUUGUAUAUAGUCUUUCUGGUGCCAAAUACUUCUCCAAACUUGACUUGAGGUCAGGUUAUUGGAAUUUUGAGUUAGAACAGGAGGACAAACAUAAAACAGCCUUUAGUGUAGGAAACCUAGGUUUCUUUGAGUGGAACCGUAUGGGUUUCGGACUCUGCAACGCCCCUAGUACUUUCCAACGACUGAUGGAACGCUGUAUGGGGGACCUACACUUAAAGGAAUGUCUCAUAUUUCUUGACGACAUUUUGGUAUAUUCCAAAACGUUCGACAAACAUAUUGAAAGGCUCCAAGCUGUAUUUUCACGCCUUGUUGUUAAUGUCCUCUGUAGUAUACCUUGGCCAUGUGAUCAGUGAAGAUGGCAUCUCCACUGAUCCAGAAAAGACCAGUACUGUCACUCAAUGGCCAGCACCCAAAAACAUUAAGGAGCUGAGGCAGUUUCUUGGCUUUGCUGGUUUUUACAGGAGGUAUGUAGAGCACUAUGCACAAAUUGUUGAACCGCUCAAUGACCUUCUGAAAGGCCAUGAUACCAUUGGCAGACCCAGCAAGAGCAAGAAACGAUCCAAAAAGACCAUUAAACCAGCUGUUUGGUCUUGGGGUGAAGCCCAAAACCAAGCAUUUCAAAUGAUCAAGGACAAACAGUUUGUUUGAAACUCCCAUCCUCUCCAGUGCUUACAUAUGCCCAGGAUGAUAAACCCUUUGUCUUGCAUACUGACGCAUCAGGCUCAGGCUUAGGUGCUGUCUUGUAUCAGGUGCAAGACGGGAUGAGCAAGGUAAUUGCAUAUGCAAGUCGUGGAUUGAGGCCAUCAGAAAAACGGUACCCAGCACACAAGCUAGAGUUUCUGGCACUAAAAUGGGCCGUUACCGAAAAGUUACAUGACUACCUUUUCGGUAACAAGUUCAUUGUCUACACAGACAAUAACCCAUUGACCUAUGUCACCAGUACAGCCAAGCUGGACGCUACUGGUCACCGUUGGCUUGCAGCAUUGAGUACAUAUGAAUUUGAGAUAAAAUACAAGCCAGGCAAACUCAAUAUUGAUGCAGAUGCCUUGAGCAGACUGCCUCAGACCCACCAACGUGAGGUUAGUGUUGAUAUGGUUCAAACAAUUUGCAUUGCUUCUCAAAUAUCUGCACCAAUUGCAGAUUGUGUGGCUAUUGAUGCCUGUCCUCUUUCUGCAGAAGAGACCAGGACUCAAUUGCCCGCAGAAGAAAGGACUAACUGGGGGCAUGAACAAGCUCAAGAUAAAACCUUAAGUCAAGUGAUUGACCUACUAAAGAGUGGUUCCCAACCCAGGGAGAAAGCACUCCGUAAGGAAACGCUUGAGGUACAGCAAUUCUUGCGAGAGUGGAAACGCCUCGUAAUUGAGCAUAAUGUGCUGUACUGAACCACUUCUUUGGAUGGUCAAUCGGUCAAACAACUGGCUUUACCAAGCAACUUUAAACAACAGGCGCUUAAAGGGGUACACAAAGAUGUAGGACACCCCGGUAAAGAAAAAUCUUUAUGGUUAGCCAGACAGAGGUUUUAUUGGCCUGGUAUUGAAAAGGACAUAGAGUCCAAGAUACAGAAAUGUGAUAGAUGUAUCCUUAGGAAACGCCCAUCACAGACAGCUGGGCUGGUUAAUAUCACAACAACCAAACCCAUGGAACUUGUGUGCAUGGACUUCCUCUCACUGGAACAGUCAAAGGGAGGCUAUGAACACAUACUAGUGAUCACAGAUCAUUUCACUAGGUAUGCGCAAGCUGUUCCAUGCAAGAACCAGACAGCUCAAACAACUGCAAAAGCCCUGUACGACCAUUUCAUAAGAUAUUACUCUUUCCCUGAUCGCCUCCACAGUGAUCAGGGAAGAAAUUUUGAGAGUAAGGUCAUACAGGAGCUAUGCAAAAUAGCAGGGGUCGAUAAAUCUUGCACAACUCCCUAUCACCCCAUGGGAAACCCUGCUGAAAGGUUUAAUCAAACCUUAUUAAAGAUGUUAGGGACUUUAAAUCCCGAACAAAACAUGAUUGGAAGUCCUUUGUCGGUCCCCAAGUUCAAGCAUAUAAUGCUACAAAGUCUGAGGCUACUGGUUUUUCGCCACAUUAUUUAAUGUUUGGAUGGAAUCCCAGGCUGGCAAUUGACACAUUUUUGGGAACCAAACCCGGGAGUGAAGGACAUCCAGAUCCUGCUGGAUAUAUGCAGGAACUGCAACUUCGCUUGCAGCAAGCCCACAAGCUAGCUGCUGAGGCCUCGGCGAAGCAGGGUGCACGUAAUAAAGCACUUUAUGACCGCAAGGCAGGUGCAUCUGGUUUGGAUGUAGAUGAUAAAGUUUUGGUCCGUCAAACUCAUUUUGAUGGGAAACAUAAACUUGCAGAUAGAUGGGAACCAAACACAUAUACUGUAUAUUAUACAGUCCUGGACAUUCCAAAUCCAGAAAUACCUGUAUAUAGGGUUAAAUGUGAGGAUGGCAUUGGACCAGUAAAAACCGUACACCGGAAUUUAUUGCUGCCAAUACAACAUGUAUCCUCAUUCCCUAGUGUUCCUAUUGAGGUUACUCCAAAACAGAAAAUCCAAAUUGAGAAACGUUUAACCAGAUCAAAGUCCAAACAUGUCGAUUCAACUGACAGUGACUGUUCAACAGACUCUAAAACCUACAUUAUUCCCCAGCGUAGAGCUCGAUAUAUACCAGGUUAUACAGCCACUAAACAAAGGUUAAACAGUCUGGAUGUCAAUCCCAACCCUCUUGGCUUGGCUGACACAGAAUUUCAAAAUUCUACAUCCAGAACAUCUUUUACCCCACUAAAUGAAAAUGUGGGUAGUAAUCAGUCUGAACAAUUGAACAUUAGUUCUUUCAUAGACCAAAAUCAACCAACAACACAAUCUACACCACCAACAACACAAUCUACACCACCAACAACACAACAACAUACAGUUACAACACAUCCAACAACGCAACAGGAAUCAGUUGGCCGACCUAAAAGGCUUAGGCAACCUCCAAAUAGAUAUGAAGAAUGGGUCACACCAAUAGUUUACUAUGUGUAACUAAAUUAUACAUAACAAAACCCAUAUGGGAAUGCAUUUUAGAUUUGAAUUCAACAGAUUUUAUAAUAUUUUAAAGUGUUUUUAAUUAUUUUUGCUUUUCCAGGUUCAUAUCUUACAUAGUUCAAUGGUUUAAUAAAAUAUAAACCUGGUGAAUGUUAUUGGAGCUUCAUUCUGUUUACAUUGGACUGACAAGUAGGUCAGCCAUCAGCUGAUUGAACAGAUGUAUUUAAAUAUAGAUCCAUCAACUUUCCAACCUCCACAGAUAAAGAAGUGCUAGAUUUGGUGAUAACGGGAUAAGAAGUGCAACGAAAGCAU